AGCUUUGCACAGUGGCAGCAUCGUAGCCAAUGAGGGCUAUCCAAGGUGCGCUGAUUGCUCAUUGAAAACCAACAGUUGGACCUGUGUGCAUCUACUGUGGUGGCUAUCUCUGGCUUUCAAACCUGGGA
rnacentral:snRNA from 1 species